UGGGGAAUCUUGCGCAAUGGGCGAAAGCCUGACGCAGCGACACCGCGUGGGGGACGAAGGCCUUUCAGGUCGUAAACCCCUUUCGGCAGGGACGAAGCGAUCUCGUGACGGUACCUGCAGAAGAAGCCUCGACUAACUACGUGCCAGCAGCCGCGGUAACACGUAGGAGGCGAGCGUUGUCCGGAAUCAUUGGGCGUAAAGAGCGCGCAGGCGGCUUGGCAAGUCGGGUGUGAAAUCCCGGGGCUCAACCCCGGGACUGCAUUCGAUACUGUCAGGCUAGAGGUAGGUAGGGGAGAUCGGAAUUCCUGGUGUAGCGGUGAAAUGCGCAGAUAUCAGGAGGAACACCGGUGGCGAAGGCGGAUCUCUGGGCCUUACCUGACGCUCAGGCGCGAAAGCUAGGGGAGCGAACAGG
rnacentral:rRNA from 1 species